CGGGGUGAGUAACGCGUGGGUAACCUGCCUUAUACAGGGGGAUAACAGUCAGAAAUGGCUGCUAAUACCGCAUAAGCGCACAGAGCUGCAUGGCUCAGUGUGAAAAACUCCGGUGGUAUAAGAUGGACCCGCGUCUGAUUAGGUAGUUGGUGGGGUAACGGCCUACCAAGCCGACGAUCAGUAGCCGACCUGAGAGGGUGACCGGCCACAUUGGGACUGAGACACGGCCCAA
rnacentral:rRNA from 1 species